rnacentral:tRNA from 1 species
GUCCUUGUUGAUUACUGGUGAAAUCAUCUUGUUGUGGUGUUAUAAAUCAGGCAGAGCCUGUGAAGCUGGAGGUUCAAGUCCUCCCUUGGACA